UGAAUCAGACCUCAAGAUCCACUAAAGGCAGAAGCUGCUGAAGCCGGAGGAGGGGGCAGAACUUGGGAUCAAUAGCCCCAGAAAUAAAAAGAGACAGAGAAGAAUUUAAGUCCCCAUCUCCAGCCUGGCUGAUCGAUACCCUAAUUAACCACUUUGCGAGCAGUCUCUUUCCUAGAGGGACCUAGCGCCGGGCACCUCUCUCUCUCAUGACUGCCUGGCACUAAGCUGAUGCCGGCUGGAGACUGACCGGGGGCUACCGGAAGACCCCAAGAGCCACACAGGGCCGGCCAAGCUUGGGCGACAUCUCUAGGGACUGAGCACCAAGGAAGACCUACUGUUGGGUGGUGGGAGUCUGUGCCUUCUCUGCUCCCCUUCCCCUGUGCCCACUUCGCCCCAAUGAAGGAACCAGAUGCUAUCAAACUUUUCAUUGGACAGAUUCCCAGGAACCUCGAUGAGAAGGACCUCAAGCCAAUCUUUGAGCAGUUUGGGAAAAUUUAUGAACUUACAGUCAUUAAAGACAAAUUUACGGGGAUGCACAAAGGAUGUGCGUUCCUAACAUAUUGUGCCCGAGAGUCUGCACUAAAGGCACAGAGUGCCCUACAUGAACAGAAGACCCUGCCUGGGAUGAACAGACCCAUUCAGGUGAAACCGGCCGACAGCGAGAGCCGAGGAGAGGACCGCAAGCUGUUUGUGGGGAUGCUGGGGAAGCAGCAGACGGAUGAAGACGUUCGGAGGAUGUUUGAACCCUUUGGGAACAUAGAUGAGUGCACGGUCCUGCGGGGGCCCGACGGCACAAGCAAAGGUUGUGCAUUUGUGAAGUUCCAGACGCAUACAGAAGCUCAGGCUGCCAUCAACGCGUUGCACGGGAGCCGGACUUUACCGGGGGCCUCCUCAAGCCUAGUAGUGAAGUUUGCAGACACGGAGAAGGAGCGGGGACUGCGGCGGAUGCAACAAGUGGCCAAUCAGCUGGGGAUGUUCAGCCCCAUUGCCCUCCAGUUCGGCGCGUACAGCGCGUACACACAGGCAGUAAGUGACCAGCUCAUGCAGCAGCAGGCCGCCCUGGUGGCCGCACACAGCGCUUACCUCAAUCCCAUGGCCACAAUGGCCGCUGUCCAGAUGCAGCAAAUGGCGACAAUCAACCCCAACGGGAUCAUAGCCACACCCAUCACCCCAAUCAACCCAAUCACUUCUUCUUCAGGUACCAGUACUCCACCAACACUCGCUGCCACUCCAGUAUCUGCCAUCCCUGCAACGCUGGGAGUCAAUGGGUACAGUGCCGUUCCCACACAGAGCACGGUACAGCCCAGCUCGGAGGCAAUCUACACCAAUGGGCUGCACCCGUAUCCAGCCCAAAGUCCGGUGGCCCAGCUGGAUCCUCUGCAACAAGCCUACGCCGGCAUGCAGCAUUACACAGCCGCCUACCCUGCCGCUUAUGGACUGGUCAGCCCGGCGUUUACUCAAGCCCCUGCCAUCCUGCCCCAACAGCCCCCACAGCAGCAGCAACAGAGAGAGGGUCCCGAGGGCUGCAACAUCUUUAUCUACCACCUGCCGCAGGAAUUCACAGACUCCGAGAUCCUCCAGAUGUUCCUGCCAUUUGGGAACGUUAUUUCUGCCAAAGUGUUUGUAGACCGCGCCACCAAUCAAAGCAAAUGUUUCGGCUUUGUAAGUUUUGACAAUCCGGGAAGCGCUCAGGCUGCUAUCCAAGCAAUGAACGGAUUCCAGAUCGGGAUGAAAAGGCUUAAGGUGCAACUCAAGCGACCAAAAGAUGCCAACCGGCCGUACUGAGGUGUUCAGGAGGCAGUGAGGUUCCGCAGCGGCCGGGGUCCAAUCACUCAUGAGAUGACUCUGUCGCUAUGACGUAACCCUAACGUCCAUUGGCUGCUCUGGGACAAGUAGCACCGCCCCUUGGUGUGUGUAUAUGUUUUGGGGUGCAAGGGGAUCCUGGUUCCAGCCCCUUCUACCUUCUUCUAUCUCUCUCAUGACACCUCAGAACGGAUUCCAAACUUUUUACUGCUGCUGGACCAAGGAGAACAUUUUCUUCAGGGGAAAUCUAAAAACUGCUAAACCUGGUGAUUGCCCAACUAUUAACCAGCAAGAACCUUCAGACAUAUCCAUUCUCUUGGAGAUGUAGGAGAACAUUCCUGGCUCUCUGUACAUGUCUUAAUAAAUGGCCACGAGAGAUCAGAGGAACCAAAUCCUCGCGGAAGAGUGGGAUUUUUUUUUUUAAAGUGGCCGGAAAGCUGAAGACGAUGGUUCAGGCCAAGGUGUGAUUGUUCAGGCACAGGUUACAUUUUUUGGGGACCAGGUAACAUUGUGUUUAGCGUACGGUAUAUUUCUCUUCACAGGUGUUGGGCAGACCAGAGGUCGAGAUAUUUUUUCCAUAUUCCACAGGCGAGAGAUUAAGCUUCAUUUUCACAGGGACGGGAUGUAUAUUUCUCCAGAAUGGGGGGGGGGGGGGGGGGAGAGCCUAGUGCACACAGAGAGCCCCUAGCUAUUUAUUCAGAAACGUCCAGGCAGCAAUGGCUGCUGUGUAAAUAGAGAUAGGAUGGAGGGUACGGGAUUUAGUGUGCAAUAUCUUCUUAUCCCAACGUUCUCGUUAUAAGAAAUAAAGUACAAGACUCCUGGCCUUGAUGGUCAUCCAGAAGCCUAGCUUUACCCACCUCCCACUCCCACCUAGAUACAGGUCAGUGCACCCGGUGGGGGGACGUAUAUGUGAACCAUUCAAACCAACCCCCCCCCGGGUGCUUCUGGUGAGCAUAAACCUUGGUAGAGAGAACACAACCAAUCCAUAAGGGAUACAACUGCAGAGCAUUGAACUGCACAACUUCUGAAGAGCAUUGCGUCUCCUGUAGGGCAAAGCCGCCAAUCGGCACGUCCCGCAGAACAUUACUCCUGCCAAUGCUCUGCAGGGUUGCUUUCUCUGCCAUAGACCCUGGAAGCCAUCAUAACACGGGGGUUCAGUUACAGCAGAAUGCUGAUUUCAGAUGCACUUGAGAUAUUUAAUACCGGGAUGUCAUUGCACUACAUGAAAAAUGCAUCCGGCUUACAAGGGGGUUCAAACCCUAAUUGGGGGACGGCUACCGAUUGACCGUAGAGGGGGCGCUGCCCUUUCUUCUCAGCUCCCCAUAGGGUUUCUUUUUUUUUUUUUAGGUAGGGGGUCAGAGGUCAUAGCCGAAGAGUCGUCGCCAACCGCGCAGAAAGAUUUAACAUGUUUACAGUCUCUGAAAUCUCCCGGAAUUGUACAUAAUAAUUUUUGUUUGCGACAAGAAGGAAAAAAAAAAAAAGAAAAAAAAAAAGAAAAACGAAAAAAAAGAAAAAAUUCUCUGCCAUUUUAUCGUAAAAAAAAUCUAGGACUUUUAAUGUUGUUUUUCUUCCUUUGGUUAAGGGGAGCAGGUACGCAGGGAAAGGGUAUUUUAAUAUAAUAUAGACAUGUGGGGGCUGGGCUUAUAAAUGACCGAUUCCCUAUGAUUAUAUAAUGCUUAACUUAUUUCUUAUUUAUUGCUGUUUAUUUGGAAUUCAUUUUUUUCUGUCUAAAUGAAAUAAAUUUGAUGAAGAA